UACCAGCUCUCCGAGUGGUAGGGAUGAUUAUUGGGCUUAAAGCGUCCGUAGCCGGCUUAGCAAGUCUCCUGUUAAAUUCAGCGACCUAAUCGUUGAGCCGCGGGAGAUACUACUAGGCUAGGAGGCGGGAGAGGUCAACGGUACUUCCGGGGUAGGGGUGAAAUCCUAUAAUCCCGGGAGGACCACCAGUGGCGAAGGCUGUUGACUAGAACGCGCUCGACGGAGAGGGACGAAAGCUGGGGGAGCGAACCGGAUUAGAUACCCGGGUAGUCCCAGCUGUAAACGAUGCGAGCUAGGUGUUGGGGUGGCUACGUGCCACUUCAGUGCCGCAGGGAAGCCAUUAAGCUCGCCGCCUGGGGAGUACGGCCGCAAGGCUGAAACUUAAAGGAAUUGGCGGGGGAGCGCCACAAGGCGUGAAGCUUGCGGUUC
rnacentral:rRNA from 1 species